AAGGUGACAAAUUGGUCUACGUCACCGGUCAUGUGUCUUGAACAGCCGCUAUCUAGAUACCAUCGUUUUUUCACUUUAUUAGCUGCAAGACACCCCUGCAAUCAAGAUCAAGAAUGAGCUUUAGGUAUCCAAACUAUGUUGGGUCCUUUAGGGUUAGUACUUGAUGUUCCUUUUGGAACCCAAACUUUCUUGAAUUUAAGCUUAUGAUUAUUACUCAAUUUGUUUUGACUGGACUUUCUAUAGUUACAUUCAUAUGCUCUAUG
rnacentral:lncRNA from 1 species